UAGUCUGACGCCAUCGGCGUAACAGUCUCGAAACCGGAAGUUCGAUUGACAAGAAAUAAAGUAAUCGACACAGGGGAAAAAAAGGAAGUAAUCCAAGCAUGGGCAAAAAAUAAUCCAAACAGAAAACGGAAGUAAUCCACACAGGAAAAGGGUAAUCCUAGUAGUCAAUAACCGGCGCGCAAAAAACGGAAAAAACACCCGGCAGCAGAGAAUGAAAAAAAAAACUCACGUAAGGAAUCCCGGGGAAAAAAGGGUAAUCCGAGACGGGAAAAUCCACACGGGAUACAAACAGCGAGGCACAGAGAACACUCGGACCGGAGGCUGGCAGGAGUGACUCACAAAAGCAACGUAGUGACGAGAGAUCAUCUGGCGAGAAUCUAGCAUGAACGGCGUGCUUAAAUAGCACUGCCGAGUAUAAAAGUCAUGCGACAGGGAAUGACAUCACCAGAGUGCGCCGCGAAGCUAACAGAAAGAAGACUGAAGCCCGUCUAACUGGCGGGGGGCCGCCACCACCUCCCCUCACCCCAUCUGAGGAGCUGGCUCUGUACCUUAAUAAAGGAUGAAAACGAUGAUGAGAGCACAUCUGCUGUGACAGAAGUGGACAAUGCUGGUAGGUCCACUGAGGUAUGAUUUUGCAUUAUAGUAACAAACUGUCAUUGUCCUUUCACAGUACAUACCUAGGGAUUUGCCCACAGAUGAGGGUCCUUCAACCUCAGCACACAAUCUAAGCAAGGAAAUAAAGAAAUAAACUGCCUUCCAGACCAGUGCAAAAAAUUAAUAAAAAGUAAUUUUGACAGAUCCUGUCUCUCAAAAGUCUUCCGUCUCUGUUGGCCUCUAAAAUCUGUAGGUGUUCCUCUGGGCCAUCUUCCUCAAAACAAGGAGGGUGGCUCUCUCCUCUUAUAAUGGCAAUAUUGUGAAGCACAACACAAGCCACUAUAAUGUCGCAUGCCCUCUCUGGACUAACCCGGAGCCCACGCAGACACUGAAACCGAGAUUUGAGGAUCCCUAUAGUCAUCUCCACCUUGGCCCAUGUUUGGCUGUGCGCCAGGUUAAACCGUGUCUGUGGUCCAGGCUCAGGUUCAGGGUAGGGUGUCAUUAAAUGGGGCAGACAAGGGUAUCCUCUGUCCCCCAGCAAGUAACCAUUGUACUGUCCUGUAAUGAUUGAAGUGUACAACACAAAUAUAGUAAAAAGGAAAAAAAACAAUUGUAUAAAGCAAAACAUACCCUGCUGAAAUGUCUGGCAUAAUGAUGACUCACGGAAAAUUCUGGCAUCAUGCACAGAUCCUGGCCAUUUUGCCUCAAAAUUGGUAAUUAUUUGGGUUGCCUCACAUAUUACCUAGUUAGUGGAAAAAGUAAUGACUUUAACGACUUUAAUGAAUUUAAGAAGGGAAAAAAAUUAGCUUUAAUACGAAUGUGAGUGCCAUCAAUGCACCCAAUUACAUUUGGAAACCCUGAAACAGAAAGUUAUGGAAGUAUGAAGUGUGGGUGCACAUAAUGAAUACAUGUAUAGAUAUAAAUUAUAUGACUAAAUAUGCAUCAUAGAUUUUACUAAAAAGGACAAACCUGCCACUCUGUGGAAUUCGUCUUUAAUAACAAGCAGAGGUUUAUGGCCAGGGAACUGCACAAACGUGGGUAAGAACUGUUUAAGUGCCAGACAUACUGUACGGAAGGCUCUACACACAGUUGCCUUUCCCACAUGCUCUGAAUCGCCCACACUGUACAAAAAAUGGCCAGACGCAAAAAACCUAAGUGCUAUGCACAGAAUGUUUUCUGUGCUUAGCGCAGAACCGUGGUUUGUCACAUUUGCGAUAUGCGGUUUUAAACGACGUGUUAAAUAAUCUAACGGAUCUUUUGAAAAACGAUAACGCUCUUUCAAAAUUCAUUAGGGUAUGCAAACAGAUCAAUAUGCGGUCUUAUAACCCUCUCCCGAUGAAAAAAAAACUUGUAUAAUUUGUGCUUCUACAUCCACAGGAUCCUCAUCAAAGGUUAUCUCAGGUUAUCUUCAGAGAGUCAGUUGCUAUGGUUACAUACAUACCCAGAAAGUUACCUCCGUUUUUGGGACCGAAAGUUGAGGUUAUCCACGAACUUACCCUUAAACAUACCCAGGUAUGUCACAUAACCUGCUUUCUGGAAUACCCCCCAGUAUUCAGGAGAAGCAGCAAAGUUUCAAUAAGUAAGUUUAUAAGAUAAUAUAUUAAGCUGGAAUACUACAUCAGAUAUGUUAAUGUGUGGAAAAACAUGGUCUACUCUGUCAAAAGUAUACAAAUCUCCAUCAAGUUUGUCAAAUAUGCUUUUUUGUGUUAUUUUUUUUUCCAUGUGUUUUUUUUUACUUUGUUCACAUACAGAUGUUUCCAAACAACCACCCAUCAGCACUGUGGCAACGCUUGUACACUUAAGUAAGUCUUGUGUAGGUGGCUGUACGAGCUCCUCUGUGGCAUCAGUGCUGCUAUUGAGACCCCUUGACAAAGAUCAAGAAUCCCUUAAGGGUUUGUGUAGCCCUUGCUGGCUAGCUUGAUCAGUUUAAACAGUUUGAAUGUCACUUGUCCAUUAAUGACGAGUUUGGAGCCUCCACCUGCUGAGGAGGAAGUCAACCCAGUCCAUGAAGAUGAGUGUGUUUGCACCAACAUCAGCUUACACGUGUGUUCCCAGCAUUAAGUUUACAUUUGGAAUCAAGCCAUUUAUUUUCUAUGACCACGUAGUUGGAAAAUUUUACUGAGAUUUGUUUAUUAUUUAAUUAUAUAUUUUUGAACCAUACAUUCACUUAUUUGUGAUUAAAUCCACAAACUCAAUUAUGCACAUGGACUUCCAACAAUUAUUUUGAAGUGUAUAAAUAAUGUAAACACCACACAAACAGGUAGAAGCUUUCAGUAUUGUAUAGAUGAUUAAUCAUGAAGUACUGUAUAACACAGCCAUAUUAAUAACUCACUAGUUAAAUCAAGUAAAAAUUAGCAGGUGCUGUAUAUUUAAGUUAAUGAACUGCUUAGUAUUUCAGUACAAUAUUACAAUGUUAAAUCAUAUAUUGUAUAAUUAAUCACAAAAUUACAUUAAGUCCUUAUAGUUGUUAACUGUGUAAUAUUAUUAGAAGAUCCAGCAAAAUAUGGAAAGAUUAAGAGAAUUAAUACAAAUAAUAAACUGCAUUAUCAACAUUCAAUGUUUGAAUUAUUGAAUUGGUAACAGAUUUAAAUUAAUCAAUGUACAGUAAAUGAGGUCAGAGGUGACAUGAGAAGUAAAUUUUAGUCUUCGGGAAUGUUGUCUGAAUUGACAUGACUACACCUCAGUAGGUGGAGCUAGAUGUUGUGAGAUACAGUUUAGACAGUUUCACAGAGAUACUGACAUUUAUAUUUACUGCAAGAGACACACAGAACAAUCAUGUUAUUCUUCUUUGUAUUGAUAGUUGUCAAAAAUUUUGCAGGUGCUGUUGACAGCAGCAUUACACCAGACCAAACCAUCAUAUCUUCAAGUGAAGGCAGCAACAUCACACUGACCUGCACAUAUGAUCAAUCAGCUAGAUAUCUCCACUGGUAUCGACAAAAACCUCAAUCAGAACCAGAGUUUCUGCUGCUGAUUCAUGAAUCCACAGAUAGUGACACUAGAACUAAAAAUAAGCUUAACCCACGACUAUCCAUCAAACUUCGUAAAAAGGAGAAGAAAGUAGAUCUGGAAAUUUUUCCUGCUGCAGUACCAGACUCUGCACUGUACUACUGUGCCAUGCAGCACACAGUGACACAAAACUCUAACAGACUGUACAAAAAGUCAUGCUUGAUAUUUGUCUCUCAGCAGG